UACGAAGGGUGCAAGCGUUAAUCGGAAUUACUGGGCGUAAAGCGCACGCAGGCGGUUGGUUAAGUCAGAUGUGAAAGCCCCGGGCUCAACCUGGGAAUUGCAUUUGAAACUGGCCAACUAGAGUACGUGAGAGGGGGGUAGAAUUCCAAGUGUAGCGGUGAAAUGCGUAGAGAUUUGGAGGAAUACCAGUGGCGAAGGCGGUCCCCUGGCACGAUACUGACGCUCAGGUGCGAAAGCGUGGGGAGCAAACAGG
rnacentral:rRNA from 1 species